CAGCAGCCGCGGGAAUACGGAGGGCGCGAGCGUUACCCGGAUUUACUGGGCGUAAAGGGCGUGUAGGCGGCCUGGGGCGUCCCAUGUGAAAGGCCACGGCUCAACCGUGGAGGAGCGUGGGAUACGCUCAGGCUAGAGGGUGGGAGAGGGUGGUGGAAUUCCCGGAGUAGCGGUGAAAUGCGCAGAUACCGGGAGGAACGCCGAUGGCGAAGGCAGCCACCUGGUCCACUUCUGACGCUGAGGCGCGAAAGCGUGGGGAGCAAAUCGGAUUAGAUACCCCAGUAGUCCCUGUCUCUUAUAA
rnacentral:rRNA from 1 species